rnacentral:hammerhead_ribozyme from 1 species
AUCUAGCUGAAGAGUCCCAAAUAGGAUGAAACACGCGUCAAACUGGAU